rnacentral:rRNA from 1 species
GUUCUUUUCGUUCCAGACUGUGCAUUUAUGAUUGAUAGACCAAUGGAUGUCUGGGGUGCACCUUUGGAAGUGGAGGUUUUACUUCAUGGAUGUUUAAAAAGUUGUAUAAAUUUAAUGGAAUUAAGCCGUGAAGAUCACGUUAGUAGAUUAUUAGACCAGAGACUUAUUCUUACUAGUCAAUGGGUUGAGGAUUUAAAAAGUUUUCUUUUAAAGCAUUACUGGGUUACAAGCCAAACAAUGCAAAUUUUAAGAAGAAGGCCAACAGAACAAUACGGUGAUGACCAACAUUUUAAUGAAUUUAAUGUUCAACCACAGGUAGUCCCUUCAUGGCUUCAAGACUGGUUAGAGAACAGAGGUGGAUACUUAAUAGGCAAUAUUAGGACCGGUAGACCUGACUUUAGAUUUUAUAGCUUAGGGAAUUCUUUAGCAUGCAUGUUUGGAGUCCUCCCAUCUGAAGAACAAAGAGCACUUUUUAGACUAGUGCUUCACAACAGACAACAUCUUAUGGCACAAAUGCCGAUGAGAAUAUGUCACCCUCAUAUGGAUGUAGAGGAGUGGCAGAAUAAAACAGGUUCAGAUCCAAAGAACUGGCCUUGGAGUAUGUGGUUUAAUUCGAUGCAACGCGAAGAACCUUACCAGGGUUUGACAUCCUGAGAACCUCUUAGAAAUUUGAGGGUGCCUUCGGGAAUUCAGUGACAGGUGGUGCAUGGCUGUCGUCAGCUCGUGUCGUGAGAUGUUGGGUUAAGUCCCGCAACGAGCGCAACCCACGUUUUUAGUUGCCAGCAUUUAGUUGGGCACUCUAGAAAGACCGCCGGUGAUAAACCGGAGGAAGGUGUGGAUGACGUCAAGUCAUCAUGCCCCUUACACCCUGGGCUACACACGUACUACAAUGCUACGGACAAAGGGCAGCAAACUCGCGAGAGCUAGCAAAUCCCAUAAACCGUGGCUCAGUUCAGAUCGUAGGCUGCAACUCGCCUACGUGAAGUAGGAAUCGCUAGUAAUCGCAGGUCAGCAUACUGCGGUGAAUACGUUCCCGGGCCUUGUACACACCGCCCGUCACACCAUGGAAGUUGGCCAUGCCCGAAGUCGUUACUCCAACCCUUGUGGAGGAGGACGCCGAAGGUGGGGCUAAUGACUGGGGUGAAGUCGUAACAAGGUAGCCGUACCGGAAGGUGCGGCUG